GUUAUAACUAAUAUCAAAUCUUUACUAAUACUUGAUUUCUUUUUAUGAUGGUUGACUUUGCGAGAACUAACGGAGCAUUAGUGUCAAGAAUGGGCUGAGAUUCGAAUUCAGUCGGUUUUUCGCUCUUUUUUGACAAAAAGGGAUCAAGAUCGGGACCGUCCAUUUGACUUCACACGGAUCACCAUCUGCUUUCUCUCUCAAUUCUCACACAUCUGACAAAAAGGGAUGCCAAAAGCAGGGAAGUACAAUCUACAGGAAAAAGCAACACUUUACUUUUGUGUGAAAGACAGCUUGCUUGCUGCAGUCUCUAUAAUAUAUCAACACUCUUCCAUACACUGUUUGAAAGACAGCACUGCUUCCUUCAGUCUCUAUAAAUAAUCCAGAGAUAUCUACACUCUACUCACACUUUACAAACUCUCAACUACACUCAACUGAAAUUAAUAUAUCAACUCUUUGCAUUCGGAUCUUGCGUUGUUUCUCGGCUCUCACAUCAAGGUUUUAAAAUUUUUGUCGGCUUUUCACAUCUCCCUCUUGCAUUGUUGUAAGUUCUUUCAAAUAUGACAUAGUGAAAGGAUAAAUUGUUUUUGUAGUUUUGAUUUUACUUUGUUCUGUUAUAUUUUGAUCUUUUCCUUCA